CGGGAUGUAGCGCAGUUGGUAGCGCACUACGUUCGGGACGUAGGGGUCGCUGGUUCGAGUCCAGUCAUCCCGA
rfam:Prevotella intermedia 17 chromosome II, complete sequence.